rnacentral:rRNA from 1 species
UACAGAGGUCUCAAGCGUUGUUCGGAUUCAUUGGGCGUAAAGGGUGCGUAGGUGGCGGGGUAAGUCAGGUGUGAAAUCUCGAGGCUCAACCUCGAAACUGCACUUGAUACUGCCUUGCUCGAGUACUGGAGAGGAGAUUGGAAUUUACGGUGUAGCAGUGAAAUGCGUAGAUAUCGUAAGGAAGACCAGUGGCGAAGGCGAAUCUCUGGACAGUUACUGACACUGAGGCACGAAGGCCAGGGAGCAAACGGG